AUGCAGCGGGGCAUCUAUGGGCCCUGGGCUCCAGUGCACGGGUACGCCGUCGGAAUGGCGCCCGUGCGGGCCAACGUCGGCAGGCAGUACCAGGUGUUCGGCGGAGAGCGUUUCAUGGCCCAGCAAUACUACGGGUACGGGUACAAGGAAGGAGCGUACGGCGCAGGUAGCAGCAACGGAGGAGCCGCCAUUGGCGACGAGGAGAGCUCGUCCAACAGCGUGCCGGCGCCGGGGGAUGGCACGGGGGAGCCAGAGCCAGAGCCAGCAGCAGAAGAAUCGCAGGACAAGCCCGUCCAAUCUGGCUAG
rnacentral:rRNA from 1 species